rnacentral:rRNA from 1 species
AUUGAACGCUGGCGGCGUGCCUAACACAUGCAAGUCGAGCGGUAACAGGUGUAGCAAUACAUGCUGACGAGCGGCGGACGGGUGAGUAACGCGUGGGAACAUACCCCUCGGUUCGGAAUAACUCAGGGAAACUUGAGCUAAUACCGGAUACGUCCGAUGUUUUAAUCGACCUUGGAGAAAGAUUUAUCGCCGGAGGAUUGGCCCGCGUCUGAUUAGCUUGUUGGUGAGGAAUGGCUCACCAAGGCGACGAUCAGUAGCUGGUCUGAGAGGAUGAUCAGCCACAUUGGGACUGAGACACGGCCCAAACUCCUACGGGAGGCAGCAGUGGGGAAUAUUGGACAAUGGGCGAAAGCCUGACGCAGCAACGCCG